CCUACGGGUGGCAGCAGUAGGGCAUCUUUCACAAUGGGCGAAAGCCUGAUGGAGCAACGCCGCGUGCAGGAUGAAGGCCUUCGGGUUGUAAACUGCUUUUAUAAGCGAGAAAUAUGAUGGUAACUUAUGAAUAAGGAUCGGCUAACUACGUGCCAGCAGCCGCGGUCAUACGUAGGAUCCGAGCAUUAUCCGGAGUGACUGGGUGUAAAGAGUUGCGUAGGUGGCAUAAUAAGUAGCUAGUGAAAUCUGGUGGCUCAACCAUUCAGACUAUUAGCUAAACUGUUAAGCUCGAGACCGUUAGUGGUAACUGGAAUUUCUAGUGUAGGAGUGAAAUCCGUAGAUAUUAGAAGGAACACCAAUAGCGUAGGCAGGUUGCUGGGACGGUUCUGACACUAAGGCACGAAAGCGUAGGGAGCAAACGGGAUUAGAUACCCGUGUAGUC
rnacentral:rRNA from 1 species